rnacentral:rRNA from 1 species
GACAGAGGGUGCAAACGUUGUUCGGAAUCACUGGGCGUAAAGCGCGUGUAGGCGGUUUCUCAAGUCGGAUGUGAAAACCCAGGGCUCAACCCUGGAAGUGCACCCGAAACUGGGAGACUAGAGUCCUGGAGAGGAAGGUGGAAUGCUCGGUGUAGAGGUGAAAUUCGUAGAUAUCGAGCGGAACACCAGUGGCGAAGGCGGCCUUCUGGACAGUGACUGACGCUGAGACGCGAAAGCGUGGGGAGCAAACAGG